CGUAGGUGCGAGCGUUGUCCGGAAUUAUUGGGCGUAAAGAGCUUGUAGGCGGUUUGUCGCGUCUGCUGUGAAAAUUCAGGGCUUAACCCUGGACGUGCAGUGGGUACGGGCAGACUAGAGUGUGGUAGGGGAGACUGGAAUUCCUGGUGUAGCGGUGGAAUGCGCAGAUAUCAGGAGGAACACCGAUGGCGAAGGCAGGUCUCUGGGCCAUUACUGACGCUGAGAAGCGAAAGCAUGGGGAGCGAACAGGAUU
rnacentral:rRNA from 1 species